UACGUAGGGUGCAAGCGUUGUCCGGAUUCAUUGGGCGUAAAGGGUGCGUAGGCGGCGCGGUAAGUCGGGUGUGAAAUCUCGGAGCUUAACUCCGAAACUGCAUUCGAUACUGCCGUGCUUGAGGACUGGAGAGGAGACUGGAAUUUACGGUGUAGCGGUGAAAUGCGUAGAUAUCGUAAGGAAGACCAGUGGCGAAGGCGGGUCUCUGGACAGUUCCUGACGCUGAGGCACGAAGGUCAGGGGAGCAAACGGG
rnacentral:rRNA from 1 species